rnacentral:rRNA from 1 species
AUUGAACGCUGGCGGCAGGCCUAACACAUGCAAGUCGAGCGAGUGGCGGACGGGUGAGUAAUGUAUGGGGAACUGCCUGAUGGAGGGGGAUAACUACUUGAAACGGUAGCUAAUACCGCAUACCAUCGGAUGUGCCCAGAUGGGAUUAGCUCGUUGGUGGGGUAACGGCUCACCAAGGCGACGAUCCCUAGCUGGUCUGAGAGGAUGACCAGCCACACUGGGACUGAGACACGGUCCAGACGCCUACGGGAGGCAGCAGUGGGGAAUAUUGCACAAUGGGCGCAAGCCUGAUGCAGCCAUGCCGCGUGUAUGAAGAAGGCCUUCGGGUUGUAAAGUACUGUCAGCGGGGAGGCGUUACCCGCAGAAGAAGCACCGGCUAACUCCGUGCCAGCAGCCGCGGUAAUAC